AGAUCGUUUGUUUCUAGUUCAGUUAACACACAUUGUGAUGUAAACCAAGGCGGUCUUUCUCCCGUGUUGUUGUUCUGCGUGAAAGACAGUUUAUCCAGAAUCUGUGUGAAAAGGCGCCAGCACAAAAUGGGGGGGACGAGGUAGCAUCAGAGGAGAAACAGCAACUGCGUGAAAGGGGAUAGGAGAAAGUUGGAACGGAAUUCAACAACAACAUUAGUUUGAUGUGAAUGUACCCAGAGAGUUCUAGGCGCAAAAAGUUUCUGUUGGUCAGCCACACAGUUCAAAAUAAAAUAUUUUAAUCACAA